GUGUUCCACGAACCGGUCUACAUAUACUAAAAUUGGAACGAUACAGAGAAGAUUAGCAUGACCCCUGCGCUAGGAUGACACGCAAAUUCGUGAAGCGUUCCAUAUUUUU
rnacentral:snRNA from 1 species